CAUUUGCUUUAACUUUGACUGAAACUAUCUUGGUGGCACUUGCAUCAAUGGUGUGUUCUGCCCUUGUAGAUGUCCUUGGAGAAGAUGGCCAUUGGAGUGUAGGGGGGGAACAACCUUGUCUUGCUCGAGGAGGAGGACCACCCGAUCUCGACGACGGCACGACAACAGCCUUGUCUCCCCCACCACCGCCCCUCGACCUCCUCUCAUGCUGCUGUGGAGUCUUAGAAUGGGAAUGUUAUGUACAUAAAAAAUAUUCUAUGGUCUGUGUUUGCAAAUCCAUGGUUGUUGAAUCAUGUCUGUAUAAGCAUUUGUAAAUAGCUAGCCUUUUUGGCUAA